rnacentral:rRNA from 1 species
AGGACGAACGCUGGCGGCGUGCUUAACACAUGCAAGUCGAGCGGAAAGGCCCUUCGGGGUACUCGAGCGGCGAACGGGUGAGUAACACGUGAGCAAUCUGCCCUUAGCUUCGGGAUAGCCCCGGGAAACCGGGAUUAAUACCGAAUAUGACUUCGGCCGACAUCGGCUGCGGUGGAAAGUUUUUCGGCUAGGGAUGAGCUCGCGGCCUAUCAGCUAGUUGGUGGGGUAAUGGCCUACCAAGGCGACGACGGGUAGCCGGCCUGAGAGGGCGACCGGCCACACUGGGACUGAGACACGGCCCAGACUCCUACGGGAGGCAGCAGUGGGGAAUAUUGCGCAAUGGGCGAAAGCCUGACGCAGCGACGCCGCGUGGGGGAUGAAUGCCUUCGGGUUGUAAACCCCUUUCAGCAGGGACGAAGCGAAAGUGACGGUACCUGCAGAAGAAGCGCCGGCUAACUACGCGCCAGCAGCCGC